rnacentral:lncRNA from 1 species
GCUUCUCACUGCCUCGCCUGCCUUGGGCCUGCCCGACCCAGGGGGUCACAUGCCUUGUUCCCCAUCAGUGGAGACCAGGGACAAGAAGACAGUUCUGUGGGAAGAGCCAGGAGGACCAUUUGGGAAAAUACAGGUUCCAGGUGUGUCUCCAGACCUUGAGAGUUGGUGUCUCCUGGGAAGAGGCCCUGAUGAGAUCUGGGGAGAUUCGGAUCUGAUGAGAUUCAGGAAGCCCUGGCCUCUCCGUACUUGAGGAGACGGGACACACAGGACAAGCUGCAGGCUGGUGAGCAGGUUCACCUUCUAUUUUGAAGACCCGCUUCUUCCUCAGGUACCUGAUCUUGAAAACGACCUCCCCUUUCAGGAAGGGGAGGAAGUGAAGAUCUUCAGACUAAGAUGGAUGAAGCUGAAUUCAGAUCUCAGCUCCAAGGUGAAUGAGCAAACAGCACAGAAAAAGAAACAGCAGUAUAUGUGGAAGAAAGCAAGAAAAAUCAACUGGCCUGGAACCUAAGACUUGUCCAAAGAUGUCACAGAGAGUAAAAUGAGAAAAAUCCAGUAGCCCGUGCCCAGAGCAGUUCCUCGUACCCAGCAGAAGGCUAACAAGCCCUGAGAUGAAUGAUGCUCUUCCCAAGGAAGGCAGAGGAGGCGACAGUCCAUUUGCGUUCUCUCCUCUGCAAGUACAGGAUCUCGUUUGAUUCUCAAAACCACCCUAGAGGAGACAGGAGGCACCUGAGGCCCAGAGACGUGAAGCCACCUGUCCAAGGCCAUACAGCAGAUAACUUAUUCUGGAGGAAGACACCUGCCAUGCCGUGAGGACAGUCAAGCAGUUCUGUGGAGAGAUCCAUGUGGUGAGAAACAGGGGCCUCCUGUCAACAGGAAGAACAACCUGGCAGGCCUGUCUUGGAUUCAGAGCCUCCAGCCCCAGUCGAGCCUUCAGAUAACUGCACCCUUGGCUGUCAUCUCAACUGCAAUCUCACGACAGACCCUGAGCUGGAACUACUCUGUUUACCAAUGCCUGGCCCACAGAAAGACUAUGAGAUAAAACAAGUAUAUUGUUUUUAGAAGAUAUGUUUUGGAGUAAUUUAUUAUGCUACAAUAGAUAAUACAGAAUUUGGUGAUUUUAUGAUUCUCAACUCCUGGCCAAAGCAAAGCACACAACAAGUCUCAAAGAAAAGUCUCACAAGUGGAAUUGAAAGUACAAAGCUGGCCAGACAAGCUUGUGCAGACAUGUAUGUGGUGGAGUUGAAAAUCACACACUACGACUCACACAAGUGAGUAAAACCUGCGUCUUUCUUAAUUUUUCUUGUACUCUUCUCAUCUAGAUCUAAUGAGAUACUUCCUGCUGUUGACAGGCAAUAAAUGAAUGAACGACAAAAACAAAACAAAAAGAAAAGAAACAAAACAGAAA